rnacentral:rRNA from 1 species
GAUGAACGCUGGCGGCGUGCUUAACACAUGCAAGUCGAGCGGACAGGCCCUGAUUUUGUGUCUUUGUCGUUUGCCGAACGCGUGUGUAACACGUGAGUAUCCUGCCCUUGACUUUCGGGUAACUUCAGGGAACUGCGUCUAAUACCGGGUAUGAUCUCCUGCUGCAUGGUGGUGGUUGGAGAGUUUCGGCGGUUGUGGCUGGACUGGCGGGUUCUCCGCUUGUUUGUGUGGUAGUUGAUUACCAAGGCUUUGACGGGUAGCCUGCCUGAGAGGGUUACCGGCGACAUUGGGACUGAGAUACGGACCAGACGCCUACGGGAGGCAGCAGGGGGGAACAUUGCACAAUGGGCGGAAGCCUGAUGCAGCAAUGCCGCGUGCGGGAUGACGGGCUUUGGGUUGUAAACCGAUGUCGCAUGUGAUGAAGCGUGAGUGACGGUAAUGGGUAAAGAAGCACCGGCUAACUACGUG